rnacentral:piRNA from 1 species
UGCCAAGCCAUGGGUAGCCUGGGUGU